rnacentral:lncRNA from 1 species
GCAAAGAGCUGCAGCCUGAGCUGCUGACGAGGUUUAGGGCGUGGGAGAGAAAGGAAAAAUCCUCAUAUCCAUAAAGACAGCUCCCAAAAUCCCAGAAGACCCUCCCGGACAAAUCCUUCCUGCCUCGUCGUAUUGUUGUCUGUCUUUCGUUCUCAGAGAAGACCAUCACAAGGGUGAUGUCUUAAGGGCCCGGUCCCUCCACAGACCCUCCUCAGAGAGUGAUCUAACUGUACCUGCCCAGGCAUGAUCUCUUCCAUCUUCAGGCACUUCCUGAAGCUGUUUCUUAUCACCUGGGGCCCCUUCCAACUUUUGGAAUAAAUGACAGAACACUCUACCUCUCUCCUUGG